rnacentral:ncRNA from 1 species
AGGAGCCGUGUGAAGCGAAAGUUUCACGCACGGUUUUGAAGACGAGCCGUUCUGGUGACGGAGCGGCUUAGUUUAAU